UACGUAGGGACCAAGCGUUGUUCGGAUUUACUGGGCGUAAAGGGCGCGUAGGCGGCAAUUCAAGUCAGUUGUGAAAUCUCCGAGCUUAACUCGGAACGGUCAACUGAUACUGUUUUGCUAGAGUACGGAAGGGGCAAUCGGAAUUCUUGGUGUAGCGGUGAAAUGCGUAGAUAUCAAGAGGAACACCUGAGGUGAAGACGGGUUGCUGGGCUGAUACUGACGCUGAGGCGCGAAAGCUAGGGUAGCAAACGGG
rnacentral:rRNA from 1 species